rnacentral:rRNA from 1 species
AGACUGAAACUCAAAGGGAAUUGACGGGGGCCCGCACAAGCAGUGGGGCAUGUUCUUUAAUUCGAAGCAACGCGAAGAACCUUACCCAGGUCUGACAUGCUUAGGAAAUCCUAUGGAAACAUGAGAGUGUCUUUAGAACGCCUUUGCACAGGUAUUGCAUGGCUGUCGUCAGCUCGUGUCGUGAGAUGUUGGGUUAAGUCCCACAACGAGCGCAACCCCUAUUCUUAGUUGCCAUCAGGUUAAGCUGGGCACUCUAGGGAGACUGCCUCGGAUAACGAGGAGGAAGGUGGGGAUGACGUCAAGUCAUCAUGGUCUAUGGUCCUGGGCUAGAAACGUGCUACAAUGGUCGGUACAAAGGGUUGCGAUACCGCGAGGUGGAGCCAAUCCCAAAAAGCCGGUCUCAGUUCGAAUUGGAGUCUGCAAUUUGACUCCAUGAAGCUGGAAUUGCUAGUAAUCGCGGAUCAGCAAUGCCGCGGUGAAUUCGUUCCCGGGCCUUGUACACACCGCCCGUCACAUGA